GCCCAAGUUCGUUGAAUUAGACCCCGAAGGCAAAGUGAUCUAGGCAUGUCCAGGCUGAAGGUGCGGUAACACGCACUGGAGGGCCGAACCCAUGAAUGUUGAAAAAUUCUGGGAUGAGGUGUGCCUAGGGGUGAAAGGCUAAUCAAACUUGCUGAUAGCUGGUUCUCCGCGAAAACUAUUUAGGUAGCGCGUCGACUGAAUACCUCAGGGGGUAGAGCACUGGAUGGGGCUAGGGGGUCUCGCAGACUUACCAAACCUAACCAAACUCCGAAUACCUGAGAGUAAUAGUCGGCAGACACACGGUGGGUGCUAACGUCCAUCGUGAAGAGGGAAACAACCCUGACCGUCGAUUAAGGCCCCCAAGUAAUGGCUAAGUGGGAAAGCAUGUGGAAAUGCUGAAACAACCAGGAUGUUGGCUUAGAAGCAGCCAAUCAUUUAAAGAAAGCGUAACAGCUCACUGGUCAAGCGUUUCUGCGGCGAAAAAUGUAACGGGGCUCAAGCCAUUCGCCGAAAUCACGGGCUCGAAAGAGCGGUAGCGGAG
rnacentral:rRNA from 1 species